rnacentral:rRNA from 1 species
GUCGGGAAUUUUGGGCAAUGGCCGAAAGGGCUGACCCAGCAACACCGCGUGAGUGAAGAAGGCCUUCGGGUUGUAAAGCUCUGUUGCCCGUGAAGAACGGUACGAAGAGGAAAUGCUUUGUACUUGACGGUAGCGGGAGAGGAAGCUCCGGCUAACUACGUGCCAGCAGCCGCGGUAAUACGUAGGGAGCGAGCGUUGUCCGGAUUUAUUGGGCGUAAAGGGCGUGUAGGCGGCCUGUUAAGUCUGAAGUGAAAACUCGGGGCUCAACCCCGAGCCUGCUUCGGAUACUGGUGGGCUUGAGUGCUCUAGAGGGCAGUGGAAUUCCCGGUGUAGCAGUGAAAUGCGUAGAGAUCGGGAGGAACACCAGUGGCGAAGGCGACUGCCUGGGGAGUAACUGACGCUGAGGCGCGAAAGCUGGGGGAGCAAACGGG